rnacentral:rRNA from 1 species
UACGAAGGGGGCUAGCGUUGCUCGGAAUCACUGGGCGUAAAGGGCGCGUAGGCGGCCAUUCAAGUCAGAGGUGAAAGCCCAAGGCUCAACCUUGGAAUUGCCUUUGAUACUGUUUGGCUUGAGACCGGAAGAGGUUAGUGGAACUGCGAGUGUAGAGGUGAAAUUCGUAGAUAUUCGGAAGAACACCAGUGGCGAAGGCGACUUACUGGACACAUAUUGACGCUGAGGUGCGAAAGCGUGGGGAGCAAACAGG